CACUCCGGCUAUCCGGCCUUACUGGAAAACAGGAUUUAACCCGCGUUUCGAAGGAAAAGCAUACGAUGUUUCGAAUCUAGAAAGCAAUUUGGAAAAGCCAUGGAUUACCAGCGCUUCGAAAGCAUACUAGCUGCGAGCCCACUUCCCCGACCAUCUUCCUCCUUAGCGUCUCGGAUCCAUCCAGCUGGCAGCCCCGGCAAUACACCACAGGACAGUGACGAUAAUGAAAACGGCCAACAGCAACCGUUCCGCCGCAGCCAUUCGAUGCGAUCGUCCUUCACCUCGCUGCGAAGUCUGAAAACGCGCCUGAAACAUCCAGCGGCAGCCGCAAAAUACGGGCCACUUUCGUCACCGGGGCGGGAGCAUUACCAGCAGCCACAUCAGCAGCACACAUUAACCACGGCAGCGGCCGCAGCUGCUAAAGCCAACCUGAAAACCAAGCUGCUAAAAUUGCGGGAAACAUACGCCGAAUUCAAACGGUUGCAAACAUCCUCUAGCCACAGUACCAAAGUGCACGUCGAACUCGGUGGAACCGGGGGCAGUGCUAACUUCAAAAUACCGCAUAACAUUCCACCGAAGGCGGCGGCAGUUUUGCUAGAGGAGCCAACCCGACGAAGAGUCCAACGUUCCCAGUCCCUGCGGAUAUCUAGCGAAGCCAUGUGUGAACCCAGAUAUGCAGCCACCAUAGGAGGACAGUCGGUAGAAGCCGCCCCCGGUAAACCUGGCACCGGCAGUGGCAGUAGCAAAUUGACGGUACGGAAAACAAGUCUACAGUCGGGAGCGACAACGCAGCUAUUAGCGAGGGCUAACGAUGAUGCCCAAAAUCUGGCUAUCGCACGGACGGCGACCAUCCGGAAAAGCUCCGUCUGGGCCAACAGCAGCAGCAGUAAAAUCAGUCUUCCGGACCUGGUGAGUCGCUCGUUGUCGACUGUCGGACUUCCGGCCUCGUGCAACGUCAUAUGUCCCACAGUGACACGUCGUGACGAAAAUGCCAACCCGUACCCAACGGAAUCUAGUCACGGCUCCAGCGCACCAGAUGUAGCUACUGUCGAAUCUCCGAUCUCAUCGCCAACUCCGACAACCCUAACGGUGCCGGUGGUUCUUACCCUGGAAGAUGAACGCGCCCCGAAUCUAAGCCGAAUGACUAGCGCCAGCUCGCCGAAUCUAAGUUCGGCUCAAGGGAAAAAGAUGGAAUUCCUGCUGCCCCACCAGCAGCACCCGCCGGGUUCGCAACCAGCUGUGGCACCCACCAAGCGGCAAAUCUCACCGAAAAUCAUCAAGAAAACACGACACCUUUCCACGAGUUCCGCCGACGACGAGAUAGGUGCCAAUAGUCCUAAAACCAUUAACCACCGUGGUGCCGUCGGUAGCCACACCGAGACGAACAAUAAUAAUCAUAAUUUUGUAAAUGGAGGCGGCGGUAUCGAUGUGCUAGCGUCGACCGGGAAGCUACCAAGCGAUCGAAGCACCUUUCCCAACUCGCACCAUCCCUACUGGAAGCAUAAAAUCACCAAAAAGCAGAACAAAAUGGCUCAGGCACAGCUGGACAAGUUGACACAGAUAAAUAUUCAUUUGCAUGCCCUCUUCGCAGCAGUCGAACACGGGCACCUGGAGAAGGCCCGCACGAUUCUCGAGAGCACCGACGUUGACGUCAACAGCCUAAACAGUGACGGUUUGUCCCCCCUGGAUGUAGCAGUUCUGAGCAAUAAUCGUUCGAUGACCAAGAUGCUGCUACAGCAAGGUGCCAUCGAGAAUGCACACACCAUUCAAGCCGCCAACAGCAACGUCGGACUGCAUCUGAACAAUCUGCUCUGCGAAGCCGAAUCCACCAUCCACGAGCUGGGCAAUUUCGAUUCGGGGCAGCCGGGUCAGGGCAGUGGCGGAAUCGGUGGAACCAGCGGCAAGACGACCUUCUCCAAUAUUAUCGGUAAGUGUUAAGUGUCUUAUUUAGUACAAGUAGUAGAUACAUCUACAUGUCGGUGCGGUGGCACGAUGAAGCGAUAGAGCAGCUUCGAGAUUGGAAGGCUAUUUUAGAGCUGCGGUGUCAAGAGGGAUUUGACAAUUGGCGUUUCUUGCCAAGUAACCGAUUCUAGAGAAUGGGAUCACAUUGACAGGAUGAAAGGCCAACAUGCAGGCAAUAGGGCAUUUUGAAGUUUUUUAACUCAAGUUGGCAGGUUGGCUUGGUUCCGUUUUAUGACAUGUUCUACAUUGUGCUCAUGCCAGUGAAACAAGGUGUUGAAAAAAUGUUGACAUGCUGUUGCUUGUUGAAAUUUGGAUUCCCAGGGGCAAGGGAUCCUUUUAAAAGAGAGUCGUUUCCUCCGAUAUUGAAUAUUUUUAAAAAGACGGGAAACAUGGAGUGUAAUUAAAAAUUAAAUGAUGAUUGCUCAACUCUCACGCCUAUUCCAAAGAACAAAGCAAGUUUAAUAUGUCUUCAUAGACGGCUCCAGUCGGCUUGCAAAGAGAGGGAGUGCCUUUCUGACAAAAUAGUUCUUACAGGCGAUUUAGAAAAUAAAUAAACUUAGAAACGUAGAAUUUCUGCAACUCAUUUCUUAUAACGGUUCAUAUUUAGGGAGUGGUGAAUAGUGUAACAAAUCACUGUCCUUGAAUGAUUUUUUUUUAUAAUUCGUUUAUUCGAUACGGCUCAUUGCGAUGGCUUAACGGAGCCGUGGGUAUUUUAUAUGUUUACAAAAUAUAACAAAAGACAAAACCAAAUGUUAUUGACUGCCCGUCGAUAAGCACCCGUUGCACUCGCACUCUUGCAACUGACAAAGUAAACAAACCACCGAGAAUAGUCAAACAUGAACUUCAUUCACCAUGAGUUCAUUCGUGUUGUCAUCUUGUAGAUCUCAAUUCUAUUGAAUACUUACACUGACGUCACAAAUGAACUCGAUGUUCAUUUUUGGCAGUUCGCUUGUACUGUUUACAUGAACUUAGAAAAAUGCUUUACGAUUUGCUUCGAGCGAAUCUAGUCGUCCACAAAUUUUUCUAAGUCCAUGUAAACAGUACUAGUGAACUGUCAAGAGAAGUGAGGUUAACUGCGUCAGUAAAAAAUCUAAUAGCUUCUUUCGCGGCGGGGAAACACGUCUGCACGCCUAAUGCAAGUUGAGGUCCAUUUACUUUUCCCUUGUCAUUCACGUAAAUAUGGGCAAUCUAUUCGCGGACGGUUCAGGAGACCCGAUUCUUCAAAAAAAAAAAUGAAUAAACAGGAGUACAGUAGUACUCAAUUCGCUUAUAAACGAAUUAACUGACCAUCACCUAAGCAGAUCAAAGGGGCCAAUUUUAAGGCGAACGAACGAUGUUGAAUGGGCCUGCCGUCUCACAAACCGUCCUGGAUGCUCUUAGUUUGAAAGAA